rnacentral:lncRNA from 1 species
UUCGGCUAACUUAGCAAAGUUCUCAUUAAGAUUAUUACAUAAUUAAAAGGACAUAUAAAAUGUUUUCCUCGAAGUGUGACCACUUUAUGUGACGAGAUUUUGUUGUUAUUGUUAAUUUUCAUAUUGCAAACUUAUUUUGUUUAUAUCAUACAUAUCCUGCUACAGUUCGAUUAUUAGAUCUCAUGGUAUCUUUUGUCAAUUUUAUACCAUUCAUUAUGCCUACUAAUAUUUGUUACAAAUAACCGAUAAUCAAUACAAAUACCAAUUGUAAUCAUUGGAAUGAAACUACACCGAAGAAAAAUAUACCAAAAAGUAUGUGUUUUUUAAACUAAAGCCAAAAAUCCACUUCAUAUACUUUAUUUGAAGCCUUCAUCCUAUUCCACCAGCAAUGACUCUCACUGAUGUUAACACCUGUCAUUUGUGUUUUUGGAACAUUAAGAAAACCAAGAUAUUAAGGCUGUCACGAAGGUACACCAAGAACAGAAUGGUAUAGAAUAUGUUACUACUGCUAAUAAAUCAGAAUAAGUGUAGAGGAUCAUAAGACACCAAAGGCAAUCAAGAAUCACGAGGAGGCAUGAAUCAGUCAUUUCAGUUACAAUCGCUUAUUAAUAUUUUUUCAGUCACGUGUUCCAGCACAUAUAGCAAGCAAUCAGCCACAAUUUCUUCCGUUACAUACAAAAUGGCAUUCAUGGGCAGCCUUAAAUCAGAAUAGAAGGGGACAAAUCAAUGCAAUAAAACCAACCAAUAAAUAUCCAUUCUUUCAGUUAUUAAUCAACAAAUAGAGAAUACCAAAAAAUCAGAAUUGUGUCAGAUAUUCAAAACCAUUUAGGCAACUCUGAAGCAGUCACCAGAAUGCCAUGAGCAGUUACGAAUCAGCAAUCAUGGGCAGCAUUCAUAGGCAGUUUUAAUAUUAAAAUCAGAAAGCAAAAGUCAUGGGAUAUGUAAGCUUUUCAGUUGGUAAUUUGAAAGGUUUCUGCGGUGACUCAUACUCAGCUAUAAAUAAUAGUUCCAGGAGGAUAUUGCUACAUACAUACACUCAGUACAAGCAGAGAGCAUUCCAGAGAAACUCAGUAAAAGAGAAAAGAGGAGAGAGUAUACAGUUAUAGUGCAAUAAAAAAGCUGUAGAGAGAACAUAAAAUGCAUGAAAAAGCUUUCAGCAAGACAAAGAGAUCAUCCAGAAUUAGCAUACACACAUACAAACCACAUAGUGAUAACAAGGAAACAUUAGGAGCAUACACAUAUACGCAGUGACAAGGGACCAGAAUACAGGAAAUUCAGGAAGAGACCAUAACGGAGAAAAGAUAACACAUAUUUUUUAAGCAUCACAUAUAGUGCAGAAAACCCAGAAACAAGGACAAAAACCGCAAUCCAGAAUACACACGUGGAGAUCCAACCAAUAACAUACAACAUCCAUAUUAUUGAAGCAACUCCGUAAAAAAUCACACGUCAUACCAGGUAAUAUUUCCUUAUUCAGCUUCUAAACUGGUUUUCUGUCCUUAUGCCUAUUUUGUACUACCAUGUUCAUACAGUUACAUAGAAACACACUGGAUCAAAUAAAACAACAUAUCACGAUAAUCUGAAAAAUAGUUUUGACUAAUUUAGGAAUAAUCGUUACCCAAACUCAUUUGUCAUAAGCCUAUCUUCAAGCUACAUAAGCAGCAAAGAAUUAAGACGACAUUGCAAUACAUUGCACUCUAGACCCUGCUAAAUGCUAAUCCUACAAUUAUAAAUCCCAUGUAUAUGGUCCUGUUGUUAUCAUUAUCACUCAUUGUGCUAAGUUACGAAUCUGUAUUAAUCAUUGACAUCAAUAUGCAUUAUAUGACGAAAUAGAAAACCCUUUUCAGUAAUUUUUGUUUCAAGAAAACCUAUCAAUCUUAGUCUUUUUUGCAGUAUAUAAUAUCGAUAAUUCUAAAAACACAAAUACAAGAGUCUAAAGUAAAACAAAUUUAGAAACAACAAGAUAAUAAUAAUGCUAAACAAAAGGGGUAUAGUUCGUUACCGACCCGAAGCUACUUUGAUCUGGCCGUAAAUCACCCAUGCGCAUGAUCCUCUUUCAUCGCCACGAGCCUCUGUUACCACUGAGAGUCACCUUGAACCACCGUAAACCCCUACCUCAAGAGAUACCAUUCUUCCAUCCUGAAUCCAUUAAACCACCGCGAUCCGAACCUUUGUCACCACCGAAAGUUAUCAUGUACCUCAAGGGUGAUAACGAGAAUCAGAAACAACAUAAUAAUGAUAAUGCGAAACGAAGGGAGUGGAGUUCAUUACCGACCCGAGGCCACCUCGAUCUGGCCAUAAAUCACCCAGGAGCGUGAUUCUCCGUCAUCACCGAGAGUAACCGUGAAUCGCCACUAAAGAAAGGACCUCGUCGUCACUGGAAAUGGAACCGAAGAGGAGACAACACGACUUAGUGCCCGUGUUGCAUAGUGGGGAGACCUUGUUCGCCGUUUGUUGUCGUCGUGUCGUCCCUCAACCUCCGCCGCUGCCAUUGAAGGUGGAGAAGAAGAGGAGAUUUGGGGAUUUAUCCCCAUUCUCCUAAACUAGGGAUUCUAUUCCCUUAUUCACGUGAAACAAAGGGGUAACCCCUUCCUUUUUUUCUUUCUCCCUUUUAACUAAAUUG